rnacentral:rRNA from 1 species
GAACAAGAAAGAGUCCAACGCUGAAUCCUAUAGUAGAUUGUGCUAUUAGGAAAUGUAGCGUAUAGGUGUAACUGUUCGACAGUUUGACAUACUCUAAGUACUUUUGACUAAGACAACAGUCCAUAGAAGGUGCUAGGCCUGUAUGAGUAGUCAGACCGUUCGAUACUGGUUGCUCCUGUGAGUCGAGUUGCUUGAGAUUGCAGCUUAAAGUAGGUGGUAAACCUCAUCUAAGACUAAAUAUGACCACGAGACCGAUAGCGAACAAGUACCGUGAGGGAAAGUUGCAAAGCACUUUGAAGAGAGAGUUCAAGAGGGCGUGAAACCGCUUAGAUGGAAGCGGAUAGAGUUAACAAAACACAAUAGUAAUCAUCCAGUUAGUGUCGGAGUUACUAUGCUGUACUUGUUAGUUUACAUGUGUGUAGCUUGUAUGCAUAUGUGACUAGCGGUCAGUAUGGUCAACUUGACGAUUGCUUGACUGGUGCUCUUGCUGUUGGUAUGCACUGUGGGGCUUGCAAAGAUACGGUAUACUUUGUUAAGGAGUUUCUGCGUUAACUUGUUUGUUAGCAUAAAGCGGUAAGCCUUGACAAGUACAUCCGCGAUUCUUUGUAAGUUCAUGCUUAGCAUUGCUUCGCUUGCCUUCUAGUGUGUAACCUAGUUGUUUGACAGUGAAUGUGUGGAUACUUGGACACUAACAUCUGUUCAGUGGCCAGUGUAUCAGUUUGCUGUUAGGCAGUCUGGUUACGCAAGCGUUAAGCUCUACAGUGUACACAAAGUUAAUCACCUAUCCGACCCGUCUUGAAACACGGACCAAGAAGUUUAGCAUAUAUGCAAGUUAUUGAGUAUUAAAAACUCAAAGGCGGAAUGAAAGUAAUUGUAUGGGAUCUGUGUGUGUUGCGGUGUCGGAAUACACUGUUACACCUACAGCGCACCAUAGCCCCGUUAAAAUUGCUUGCAAUUUAGCGGAGGUAGAGCGUAUAUGCUGAGACCCGAAAGAUAGUGAACUAUGCUUGAGCAGGAUGAAGCCAGAGGAAACUCUGGUGGAGGUCCGAAACGGUUCUGACGUGCA